GCGGCCGCCCGGCCCGCCUGACAUACCAGGAAUAGCAGCACACAAUUGCACCUUUCCCGGCCAAGAAACAUCCCCCGCGGGGGAGCGCGGCCCGCCGCCCUCACCUGCCGCCGCGCCGGCCGAGCCCGCUCCGCGCUCUCCCUCCGGGAUCCGGCCCUGCCGCCAACUAUAGAAGUCACUUUCAAGAGAUCAGGAGAAGAUGGCCAAAUUAAAAGCCUCCACCAACCAUCCUCCCAACAGGAACAUCAAAUUUAAGAACUAACUACUCAUAAAGGCACCUUCAUAAGGACCAAAAAUCAGAGAGAACAAGGAUAAAGAAGUAUCUAAAUAUGGAGAAAAUGUUAUACAAGUGACCUUUAGAGAUGUUUUAAAGAUGACAAAAUAUUAGUAGCACUUAAGAUGGGCCAACAAGUUUUAUUGUUACCUCUAAUAAAGUUUCAUCACUAGUUUCA